AGAGUUUGAUCAUGGCUCAGAACGAACGCUGGCGGCAGGCCUUAUACAUGCAAGUCGAGCGCAUCCUUCGGGAUGAGCGGCGGACGGGUGAGUAACGCGUGGGAAUGUGCCCUUCUCUACGGAAUAGCCACUGGAAACGGUGAGUAAUACCGUAUACGCCCUUAGGGGGAAAGAUUUAUCGGAGAAGGAUCAGCCCGCGUUAGAUUAGGUAGUUGGCGGGGUAACGGCCUACCAAGCCUACGAUCUAUAGCUGGUUUUAGAGGAUGAUCAGCCACACUGGGACUGAGACACGGCCCAGACUCCUACGGGAGGCAGCAGUAGGGAAUCUUGGACAAUGGGGGAAACCCUGAUCCAGCCAUGCCGCGUGAGUGAAGAAGGCCUUAGGGUCGUAAAGCUCUUUCGCCUGUGAUGAUAAUGACAGUAGCAGGUAAAGAAACCCCGGCUAACUCCGUGCCAGCAGCCGCGGUAAUACGGAGGGGGUUAGCGUUGUUCGGAAUUACUGGGCGUAAAGCGCGCGUAGGCGGAUUGGAAAGUUGGGGGUGAAAUCCCGGGGCUCAACCCCGGAACUGCCUCCAAAACUGCCAGUCUAGAGUUCGAGAGAGGUGAGUGGAACUCCAAGUGUAGAGGUGAAAUUCGUAGAUAUUUGGAAGAACACCAGUGGCGAAGGCGGCUCACUGGCUCGAUACUGACGCUGAGGUGCGAAAGUGUGGGGAGCAAACA
rnacentral:rRNA from 1 species